GAUGAAGAACGUAGCGAAAUGCGAUAAGUAAUGUGAAUUGCAGAAUUCAGUGAAUCAUCGAAUCUUUGAACGCACCUUGCACCCUUUGGCAAUCCGAAGGGUAAGCUCGUUUGAGUGUCAUUGUACUCUCACACUUCCAAUCUUUGGAUUGGGGGCGGUGGACUUGGGUGUUGCUGCUUACUGUGGCUCACCUCAAAUUGAUUCGUGCACCUCUUGGUUGGACAUAGUACGGCGUGAUAAGUGUCUUCGCCGGCACCUCAGUAGAGGGUGGCUGAUCGGGAGCUCUGUGCUUCAAACCGUCCUCGGACAACAACUGACAACUUGACCUCAAAUCGAGUAGGACUACCCGCUGAACUUAAGCAUAUCAAUAAGCGGAGGA
rnacentral:misc_RNA from 1 species